AACAGAGACUGGUUCAAGGGAGAUUCGGACACAUCUCCACCUCCAAAGCCAAGUGCCUUCCCGGGAUGAUCUGCAUAACAAUAUGCGGGUGCUGGUGGUGGAGAAGCUCCGGGAAGAGAAAACUAGCAGGACGGUAUCGAACCGCCCGCAGGCCCGUCGCAGCUCCAUUAAUACAACUACCAUUACACUAAGUAUCUCCUAUAGGGCUCUUCAAACUGUGAUCAACUUAGUAAAUGAUGUUGACAGUGGAAGUGUGAUCAUUUUAUUUUCCUGCCUUUGGAAUUGAAGAAAGUAAUUUUGCAAAAAUUUUGUUGAAGAUGAUGUAGCUUUGGUUCAGAGAGCUGGAGUCCAAUGGCACUAUCUCAGCUCGCCGCAACCUCCACCUCCUGGGUUCAAGCGAUUCUCCUGCCUCAGCCUCCCGAGUAGCUGGGAUUACAGGUUCCAAGUCUCUUCUUCGGCCUCUCAAACAUGGUACCAUCCCUAAUGAAGUCAACAGGGGUCCAGCAUGACAGGAUGGAAGUAAAAGUGUCAGCACCUAUGUGAGUCCCAAGAGGGGAAAUUAGAAACAAAAAGGAAGAAGAGGACAUAGGCCAGGCACGGUGGCUCACGCCUGUAAUCCCAACACUUUGGGAGGCCGAGGUGGGCAGAUCACCUGAGGUCAGGAGUUCAAGACCAGCCUGGUCAACAUGGCAAAAGCCCAUCUCUACUAAAAAAUACAAAAAAUUAGCCAGGCGUGGUGGUGGGAGCCUGUAAUCCCACCUACUCGGGAGGCUGAGGCAGGAGAAUUGCUUCAAUCUGGGAGGCAGAGGUUGCAGUGAGCUGAGAUCGUGCCAUUGCACUCCAGCCUGGGCGACAGAGUAAGACUCUGUCUCAGAAAAAAAAGGAAAAAAA
rnacentral:sRNA from 1 species